rnacentral:rRNA from 1 species
AUUGAACGCUGGCGGCAGGCCUAACACAUGCAAGUCGAGCGGAGCGCGAGAGGCGGGAGGAAUGCCUAGGAAUCGGCCAGGUAGUGAGGGAUAACGUCCGGAAACGGGCACUGAUACCACAUACUAUUACCUGAGGAUAGGUCGGAUUAGCUAGUGGGUGGGGUAAAGGCAUACCAAGGCGACGACGCGGAACUGGUCUGAGAGGAUGAUCAGUCACACUGGAACUGAGACACGGUCCAGACGCCUACGGGAGGCAGCAGUGGGGAAUAUUGGACAAUGGGCGAAAGCCUGAUCCAGCCAUGCCGCGUGUGUGAAGAAGGUCUUCGGAUUGUAAAGCACUUUAAGUUGGGAGGCGUUACCAACAGAAGAAGCACCGGCUAACUUCGUGCCAGCAGCCGCGGUAAUUC